UACGUAGGUGGCGAGCGUUGUCCGGAUUUACUGGGCGUAAAGGGAGCGUAGGCGGACUUUUAAGUGAGAUGUGAAAUACCCGGGCUCAACUUGGGUGCUGCAUUUCAAACUGGAAGUCUAGAGUGCCGGAGAGGAGAAUGGAAUUCCUAGUGUAGCGGUGAAAUGCGUAGAGAUUAGGAAGAACACCAGUGGCGAAGGCGAUUCUCUGGACUGUAACUGACGCUGAGGCUCGAAAGCGUGGGGAGCAAACAGGAUUAGAUACCCCUGUA
rnacentral:rRNA from 1 species